rnacentral:rRNA from 1 species
CGGGACGGGUGAGUAAUGUCUGGGAAACUGCCUGAUAGAGGGGGAUAACUACUGGAAACGGUAGCUAAUACCGCAUAACGUCGCAAGACCAAAGAGGGGGACCUUCGGGCCUCUUGCCAUCGGAUGUGCCCAGAUGGGAUUAGCUAGUAGGUGGGGUAACGGCUCACCUAGGCGACGAUCCCUAGCUGGUCUGAGAGGAUGACCAGCCACACUGGAACUGAGACACGGUCCAG